UUAGAAAUUGAUUGUCUCUCUUCGUGUUUUGUCGCAAGUUUGUCUAUGUUUGCAUUUUUUCGUCUUUGUUGACACAAAAUGAUUCCUUGCAGAAAAUUCCAUACUUUUUGUGUGCCACUUUUUAAUAAAGUACAGUUUUUACAUAACUCAGUUACGCAAAGGAAGGUAAACCAAAAUUGUAUUACUUUUGAAACUAGACUGGUUGAGCACAGUGUAGGGAAGAAAGCACAUUACUGUGUUUCCACAGUAGAAUCACCUGAGUUUACAGUCUUUGAAAAGGCUUGUGAAGAAACAUUGGAUAGUCUGUCGGAAUACUUGGAAGAAUUAGUAGAAUUAAAUUCCCAUUUAAAUAAUGCUGAUGUAUCUUAUAGUGAUGGUGUGUUAACAUUAAAUCUUGGACCGCAAUUAGGAACUUAUGUAAUUAAUCGACAAAUCCCUAAUCGACAAAUUUGGUUAAGUUCUCCUCAAUCAGGACCCAAACGAUAUGACUUUGUAAAUGAAGGAAAUGGUUACUGGUUGUAUAAACAUGAUGGGAAAACACUUCACCAGCUUUUGCAAGAAGAAUUGAAAGAAGUAGCUAAAACUGAAGUAAAUUUAUCAACAUGUGCCUAUAGUAAAGUUUAGCAAAAAUUGGAGAUAUUUAUAUAUGACUUAAAUGGUAAUGCAGGGUGAUAUUAAUUAUUCCCUAUUAAAAUGGAAGUGAUAAAAAAUGGAAAUGUGAUGCGCAGAGUACAAAUUGUAAUUGAAAGAAUUUUACAAAAUGUGGAAAUUCCAGACCAAAAAUAGAAACGAACUCUUUUAAACUGAAGAGGUUGAGACAUUCUUAUACUAAAAUAAAUAGUGAUGACAGAAGUAUUAACAGUAAUACAGCAAAAUAUGGCAAACGUGGACAUUUUGUAGACUACAAACAAGAAAUAACUUAUAAACUAAACAGGUUCAAACAUUUUUAUUCAAAAAUAAACAAAGCAACGACAAAAAUAAACAGUAAUAUGGAAAAAUGUUUGUACAUUAUGUAUUAAAUUUUUUGGCAUUAUGGUUUUCAAAAAAACAUUGAACACAAUAACAUUUGCUACAGGCAGCACAUUUCAAUUUAGAAUGCAGCCGUUUAUUAAGCGCAACUUUUCGCCCGUCCUUUGCUUUGAGAUUUCGAUAGCACACAAUACAAGGCAAACGUGUUUGUUUCUAUUAACACAUGUUCAUCAUUUUGUUCAUUGUCUCCUUCAAAAGUUAGGUUUAGGUUAGUCUCCAUGAGUCUAAGCAAGAUAAAGAGAGUUGUUCUCGGAAAUCUGCGAUGGAGAUUCCAUUCUGAGUAACCUCAUUGUAAAAUAUGUGAGCAUUUACUACAGCAGAAUGGCUAGUUUUCUAUAGGUACCAUUUAGUACCUCUGCAUAAACAAUGCGAAUAAGCCUUGACUUGAAAGGAGAUAUCAAUGAAUUAUUUUGCAUUAUUAUAAUCCAGGAUAGCUUCAGGUUGUUCAAUUUAAUCACCUUUUCUUUAUUUUUUUCUGUGCAUCCGUGCUAAUGGUACUCAACACAAGGACGUACUUUUCGUCUUGCCAUUUUAGUACUAUUAUUCCUGUAUCGUUUUCUUGUCUCACUACAUCUUUACACUUCAAUUUCUUUUGCACUACUGCCUUUGGAUUAUACUUGUGAGUGGUGCGGAGGUACUAAUCAAAUGUUUUUUUUUUCAACAAUUUAGUGGCCAACAAACCACUCCUGUAAAAAUCAUCGGUGUGUAAUUUCCGAUCAGCGUUGAAAAGUCUUUCUAUUAGGUGUACCACUACAUUUUAGGAUGCCUGUCCUCCUUGCACGCAGUUGUUACCACAAUAUAUUGUCAAAUUAUAAGUAUAUCCACCUUCAAAGCACAACUUAUAAUACUCUUAUGCCGAAUUUGUUUUUUUUUUUUAUUUUUUAUA